rnacentral:rRNA from 1 species
AGAAUCAACGCUGGCGGCGUGCCUAACACAUGCAAGUCGAACGAGAAAGUGGAGCAAUCCAUGAGUACAGUGGCGUACGGGUGAGUAACACGUGACUAACCUACCCUCGAGUGGGGAAUAACCUCGGGAAACCGGGGCUAAUACCGCAUAACAUCCACGGAUCAAAUGCGUAAGCAGCUUGAGGAGGGGGUCGCGGCUGAUUAGCUAGUUGGCGGGGUAAUGGCCCACCAAGGCAGUGAUCAGUAGCCGGCCUGAGAGGGCGCACGGCCACACUGGAACUGAAACACGGUCCAGACUCCUACGGGAGGCAGCAGUGGGGAACUUUGCGCAAUGGGGGAAACCCUGACGCAGCAACGCCGCGUGGAGGAUUAAGCCCCUUGGGGUGUAAACUCCUUUCGAUCGGGACGAUUAUGACGGUACCGGAAGAAGAAGCACCGGCUAACUCUGCGCCAGCAGCCGC